UACAGAGGUCCCGAGCGUUGUUCGGAUUCACUGGGCGUAAAGGGUGCGUAGGUGGCUUGGUAAGUUUGAUGUGAAAGCUCAGGGCUUAACCCUGAAAUGGCAUUGAAUACUACUGAGCUGGAGGUUUGGAGGGGGGACUGGAAUUCUUGGUGUAGCAGUGAAAUGCGUAGAUAUCAAGAGGAACACCAGUGGCGAAGGCGAGUCCCUGGACAACACCUGACACUGAGGCACGAAAGCUAGGGGAGCAAACAGG
rnacentral:rRNA from 1 species